rnacentral:RNase_P_RNA from 4 species
GCUUUGUAUCGGACAAUUGCGCCCCGCUUUGCGGGGUGAGGAAAGUCCGAACACGGCCCUGUCAUUUGACAGGGAGCACGGUAGUGUCCCGAUCCGCCUAAGGUGGGUCGAGGAUCCGCGAUUCGCCUAAAGCGAAUCGGGAGGUAACACCCAUCCGCCGCAAGGCGCGAGGUGCGAACAGAGACGCUUUUUGUUUGAAAAGACAAAAGCGCCCCGUCAAAUGAUGGGGCGAGCUCCCGCAGUAAUGCAGGAGAUGAAACGGCUAAACCCUUACCUUCGUGCAAGGUCGUACGCCGAUGCGGAGCAUCGGAAAUUUCAAGCUCCAAGAAACAAGCUCCAAACAAAUCACAAAUUCCAAUUUUCAAAACAACAAACGGAGAAUUUUUGUUUGGAAUUUUCGGGUAUUGGAUAUUGUUUGCCUGCCUGCCGCAGACAGGGAAUUUGAUUAUUGGUUAUUGGAGCUUCCGCUGCUCCGUAGCGGCGGGUACCGCUUGAGCCCGCAAGUAAUUUCGGGCCUAGAUAAAUAAUUGUCGUCCGCCUUAGGCGGAUACAGAACUCGGCUUAUAGAUACAAAGCACAU